rnacentral:ncRNA from 2 species
ACAUGCAGCGCGGGAGAGAUCGUCAAGGCAGCCGAUGACGACGCCGACGGAGCAACCGCCCCGGAAACUCUCAGGCCCAAGGACCGCGCCGCAGGA